rnacentral:lncRNA from 1 species
UAUUGUCUAUCCUACACCCACCUCGUUUAACCUCCACCACCAUAGCCGACGGCCGGCGACCACACACCUCGGAUCGAACAUAAAAUUUCCAAAGUUUCUUCUAAUUUCCAGUCUCAAGUCGUGAGCCAGGAUUUCCGGCGAGAGUUCAAGUCAAGCUGCGGGGAAGAAAAGAAAGCGAAUACGGGAUCCGGUCAGUUCGGGUUAUUGGCUUGGAGUUGCGAUUGAGGGAUCUGUGACGUUUUGGAAGGCUUGGAACUAGACGGAUGCAGAUCAAAAGGAAAAUCAGAGUAGGUUGCUAGUAACGUAUACGAGAGUGCCAACCGGACUAGGUAUUGGACACCAAUUCUGCCACUCGGUCUCAAACCAGUUAUCAAGGCGCAUGUAGGCUGGAGGUCAUGUAAUAUAUUUUUAUUGAGUUAGGGUAGUUGAAUCUUAGUUAUUGUCAUUGGAGGUCAUGUAGGCUGCACGGCACACCCAGCAACGGCGCCGGCUGCAAGUCGCACAAGCAGCGGCUUCGGCUGCAUGACGCACGAGCAACGACUUCGGCUGCACGACGCACGCGGCAGCAGCGUCGGCUUCACGACGCACACAGCAACGACGUCGGCUGCAUGACGGACUAGCAACGGUGCCGACUACACAAAUUCAUAAAGUUUUUAUAUAUCUAUGGAUCAUGUCUAAGAUAAGCUUCUUGGCCCGUCAUCUUUUGUUUCCACUUUUGAUAUUUGUUUGUACCAUAACUCGUGUUUCAAUUAAACAACCUUUUGU